GACGAACGCUGGCGGCGUGCUUAACACAUGCAAGUCGAACGGAAAGGCCCUGCUUUUGUGGGGUGCUCGAGUGGCGAACGGGUGAGUAACACGUGAGUAACCUGCCCUUGACUUUGGGAUAACUUCAGGAAACUGGGGCUAAUAUCGGAUAGGAGCUCCUGCUGCAUGGUGGGGGUUGGAAAGUUUCGGCGGUUGGGGAUGGACUCGCGGCUUAUCAGCUUGUUGGUGGGGUAGUGGCUUACCAAGGCUUUGACGGGUAGCCGGCCUGAGAGGGUGACCGGCCACAUGGGGACUGAGAUACGGCCCAGACUCCUACGGGAGGCAGCAGUGGGGAAUAUUGCACAAUGGGCGGAAGCCUGAUGCAGCAACGCCGCGUGCGGGAUGACGGCCUUCGGGUUGUAAACCGCUUUCGCCUGUGACGAAGCGUGAGUGACGGUAAUGGGUAAAGAAGCACCGGCUAACUACGUG
rnacentral:rRNA from 1 species